GCCUCUGUAGUUUAGCCCGGUAGAACGCCAGUCUCAUGAGCUGGAUAUCGGCGGUUCAAAUCCGCCCAGAGGCA
rnacentral:tRNA from 1 species